AAUGAACGUUGGCGGCGUGGAUUAGGCGUGCAAGUCGUGCGGAAAGGCUCCUUCGGGAGUACUCGAGCGGCGCAAGGGAGGGUAACGCGUGGAUAUCUACCCCCUGGACUGGGAUAGCGGCGGGAAACUGCCGGUAAUACCAGAUAAUGUCUGCGGACCAAAGGUGUGAUUCCGCCGGGGGAUGAGUUCGCGUCCUAUUAGCUAGUUUGUAGGGUAAUGGCCUACCAAGGCAAAGAGGGGUACCGGGUGUGAGAGCAUGGCCCGGCUCACUGGGAAUGAGACACUGCCCAGACACCUACGGGGGGCUGCAGUCGAGAAUCUUCGGCAAUGGGCGAAAGCCUGACCGAGCGACGCCGCGUGCGGGAUGAAGGCCUUCGGGUUGUAAACCGCUGUCAGAGGGGAGGAAAUGCGUGAGAGUUCUCUCUCACGUUUGACCUAUCCUCAGAGGAAGUACGGGCUAAGUUCGUGCCAGCAGCCGCCGUAAGAC
rnacentral:rRNA from 1 species